rnacentral:rRNA from 1 species
UGGGGAAUUUUCCGCAAUGGGCGAAAGCCUGACGGAGUGACGCCGCGUGUGGGACGAAGGCCUUCGGGUCGUAAACCACUGUCAGUGGGAAAGAUGGGUGCCGGUGUUAAUACCAUCGGCAUCUGACGGUACCUGCAGAGGAAGCCCCGGCCAACUCUGUGCCAGCAGCCGCGGUAAGACAGAGGGGGCAAGCGUUGCUCGGAAUUACUGGGCGUAAAGGGCGCGUAGGCGGGAUGGCAAGUCGGUCGUGAAAUCCCUCGGCUCAACCGAGGAACGUCGAUCGAUACUGCUGUUCUUGAGGAUUGCAGAGGAGACUGGAAUUCCCGGUGUAGCGGUGAAAUGUGUAGAGAUCGGGAGGAACACCGGUGGCGAAGGCGGGUCUCUGGGCAAUUCCUGACGCUGAGGCGCGAAAGCGUGGGGAGCAAACGGG